GAUCAGCAGUGGGGCCUCCUGAGCUGCUCUAGGAUGCCAACCUCUGUGGCACCAGCCUUGGAUGUGGAGAAGCCGGAAGAAGUGGGGGCCUGACGUGCAGUAGAUAUAUUGCUUUGUUAAACUGACCAGGGCAAAAGGCCAAGUUCCAAGUGUUGCUGUCGGGCCUUACCCAUGCAGCCUGACCAAUCCAGAGGCUUCAUACUGCCUGCCAAUUGCAGGGGCAGAUAUUGCACCACCACCCCCUCUUCUCUUUUAUGCCGGAAAAGGGCCCUGAAUCUUAUACACCUGUGGUUCCAGUUGAAAAGAUCAAGUAAUUUAUUAUGGAAACUGGCAGAACUCUCACAUUCUGACUGGCAUCUGAUUUUUUACUUUCUACACUACUGAAAAAUGCCAUAAGGCCUGCAGAUACAAAUGGAAUAGCACAGCAUCUUUCUUUCCCCUCCCAUUUUUUUUCCUUUUCGAAAGCUGAAAAUCUCCACUUAAAUAAAUAUAUGUACGUGGGUAGCAAGGGGUAGUAAGUGAUCCCAAAAAAAUAUUUCCUGCUCCCUCUUUCACUCCCCUAGUUACCAGACUGGAACUUUACAGCAAAAAGUGUUAGACAAUACAGUCAUAUAUUAUUGUAUGGCCUUGGUCCUAUAACUUGAAUUAAUUCUUUUAAAAGAUCUUUGUAGUUUAAAGAAGCCUCAGUCACCCACUCCUCUACCCCAGAACAAACAACAGAGGCCAGUGCAGCCAGGUUGGUAGGAGACUCUGCCAGCCUCCCAUUCUUAGCAGUGUUGGGACUGUCUUAGGAGUCUGCAGCAGCCCCAGGACACAGCAUUAUGGCUCUGUAACUCUGCGUAUCAUAUCAGCCACUAUAUUGUUGCUUAUUUUAUAUUAUUUUUAUUUAUUAUUGAAAUUUAUAUACCACCUUUCAUUAAAAUAUCCCCAAAGUGG